UAGGGAAUCUUCGGCAAUGGACGAAAGUCUGACCGAGCAACGCCGCGUGAGUGAAGAAGGUUUUCGGAUCGUAAAACUCUGUUGUUAGAGAAGAACAAGGACGUUAGUAACUGAACGUCCCCUGACGGUAUCUAACCAGAAAGCCACGGCUAACUACGUGCCAGCAGCCGCGGUAAUACGUAGGUGGCAAGCGUUGUCCGGAUUUAUUGGGCGUAAAGCGAGGGCAGGCGGUUUCUUAAGUCUGAUGUGAAAGCCCCCGGCUCAACCGGGGAGGGUCAUUGGAAACUGGGAGACUUGAGUGCAGAAGAGGAGAGUGGAAUUCCAUGUGUAGCGGUGAAAUGCGUAUAUAUAUGGAGGAACACCAGUGGCGAAGGCGGCUCUCUGGUCUGUAACUGACGCUGAGGCUCGAAAGCGUGGGGAGCAAACAGG
rnacentral:rRNA from 1 species